AUGGAGACAUUGCAGAGGAUCUGAAUUU
rnacentral:piRNA from 1 species